UUCAUUCAGGAACUCAGAACAUUGGGGUGUGUAGUGAGGAAUGCACUCCGCUGUCAGGGUGAUUUGAGUAGGAUUAAUCGCUGACAGAAACAGACUUACAUAGAGAAUAUGCAAAAAACUCAAAAGCCAAGUACAAGGAAACCAAGCAACCAACGGGCUAAUGAAAUGGACAGAUAGUUCUCAAGAAAUAAAGUAGGACUAGCUAGCGAACUAAUGAAAACGUUCAGUCUCACUGCCAUCCAAGGGACGCAAAUUAAACUACAGAAGAGAGUCGGCCUCUGGCCAAUCAGAAUAGCACCCAUCAAGAAAACAAAUAGCAAAUGCUGGCAAUCACGUGGAGAAAGGGAAAAUGCUCAUGCAGCGCUAUCGAGAUUACAGAUUACUGCCCCGCUAUGGACAUCAGGGUGGAGGCUCCUCAGAAACCUAAGAGUCAAAGGGACGGUCACGUGGCCCAGCGGUACCACGGUAGGAACUAAUCACAUGUAACAGACGUAUGCACACAUGGAUGGUUACUGUAUCACUGUUCACAACAGCUAAUACUGCCUGUACACAGGAGUUGAGAAGGAAAGUGUGGUAUACAUACAAAAUGAAACGUUAUUCAGACACAAAGAAAAAAACUAUGUCAUUUCCAGAAAAAAUAAAAACAACAAAAAAACAAAACAAAAACAAAAAACAAAAACCCCUGCAACUGGAGAUUAUCAUAGCAAGGUAAUUACAGAUGUUGUGUGUUUUCUUUCCAUUUGUGAAUUCUCACUUUUAUAUGGACAUACAAAAGCUUAUAUGCAUAUAUGACCUAAAAGUAGAAUGAGAUUAAGGGGCCUGGUGAGAGGAGGGUGACGUGCUUUGUAAAGCCAGUGAUCUGUUUUGUAUAGUAUGGUAUGGUAUGGUGCGGCGGGAGAAUUUGCCUCAGAGGCUCAGCGGGCCCAGGCUAAGGCACCCUCUGCCCCAUGUACCAUAGAUGGGUGUAGUGUAGAAUAGAGUUUAUUUGGAGGGAUGGGUAGAGUUGAGAAGGGAGUAAAGGCAGAGAAAGAGAGGGAACAGAGAAGAACAGAGACAGAGGAAGAGAAGGAAAGAGGCUUACCGGAACAUGUGAAGAGAGAGGGGGUAGGGGAAACGGGAGAGAGAGAGAAAGAGAUCAGAGAGAAAAGAGUCAGAGUCAAAGAACUAAGGGAGGCCAAAUGGUCCCUUUUACAGUAAGCCAGACCUACUGCGCUGUUGCUAGGUAACCGUUGGGCGGAGCCUAGAGGAAUGCUAAUAGACCAGAAAGGGGUGGAGGAGCUCCAAGUUCACUAUAUAUUUGUGAAAAUGUCUUUAUGAAGCCCAGUAUUUCCGUAUGUAAUGAAUAUACACAGAUAAGAGAGCCUCAAUUUUAGGACUCUUCAGAACCUGUGUCACAGAAAUUACCUGUCCUGAAACCAAAAGGACACCGGUGUGGAGAAUCACAGGGCUGAGUCACUGAGGGGCACUUCCCAAAUGCAAGCAUCUGGUAGACGGCUGGAUACCUGAGAGCCUUCUACAUACUCAGGAGAGACAAGCCACUCUCUAAUGACCUGCCAACUCUCGAAUAGUCCUCAUCAGCCAGACUUAAAGGCUGUGAUUUUGACACCCCCCCCCCACAGUAAAAAUCUGAACAAUCAAGUGGCCAAAUGUCUCUGAUUUGUGGGGUGACUUUUCUGUGUGGUUCGAUGCCAGCUCACCUGGCUUCUCCCCUCAGAGACUGAGAGGAAUUUUACCAUUCCUGUGUGCAACAGUCCUGGCUCUUGUGAAGUAAUGCAGUUCCUGUUUUGCCAGUCCAGUUGGAUGACAAGUAGCAGCUUGGGUUGCACCUCAUUCUGCAGAAGGCAUGGGGUAGAAUGCACAGUUACACUUCAGGGAAACUGCAGGGGAUGCCCUUAGGGAGGGGGUCGGCAUGUCUUGGCCGACGAGAGUCCGAGCUGGACACAAAUGGGGCGGCAACAAGCACAAGGGUGGGGCAUGAUCUCACAGCUCAGUGGUCGGUCUCCCCCUCGGCAUCCAAAGCUGGGAGGCUUAGGUAGCCUAUGAGGCAAUUUUUUAAACCAUGCAGCCCUGAGAUGAGGCAUGACCUCAGGUCACAGAUUCAGCUGUUGCUUGUGGACAUGGCAACUCCAUUCCCUUGCAGGCUCGAGUAUUUCUAAAUAGUAGGGUAGCUGUCUAGAAAAUUAAUAGCCCUCCAUUUUUCACGGAGCUUAAAUCUUCAUGUGUUGUAUCUUAUAUUAUUUUCAUUUUUAGUUUGUUUUCUGAGGUUUUUUAAUAAUUCUUUUUUUAAAGAUUUAUUUAUUAUAUUUAUUAUAUAGAAGUACACUGUAGCUGUCUUCAGAUACCAAAAGAGGGCAUCAGAUUUCAUUACAGAUGGUUGUGAGCCACCAUGUGGUUGCUGGGAUUUGAACUCAGGACCUCCGGAAGAGCAGUCAAUGCUCUUAACCACUGAGCCAUCUCUCCAGCCCCCACCCCCUUUUUUUAAUUGCUAUUUUGUACAGGACCUCACAAUGUAACCCAAGCUGGCUUUGAACAUGACAUUCUUUUCAUCAUUCUGCCUCAGUCUCCCACAUGCUAAGGGUACAGGCAUUCUCCGCCACACCCAACACAUUGGUUCAUAUUUAAAUAUAAAAGCUGUUCAUAUUUACGUGAUUUGGUGUGACUGUGACAUUUCCAUACAGGUGUAUACAGUGUGUACUACUCAAGUCCAACCUCCUUUCAGCCAUCUAUCCCAACUCUCUACCUUCCCAAUCUCUAUUAACUACUGAUCUAGAUUCAGGAUGAGAUUUUUUUAAUAUGGGAGAGAACACGUUGGUGUUUGUCCCUUUGCAAGCGGCUAGCUUUUCUUAACACAGUGUCCUCUGGUCCCAUCCAUUUUGCUUGGAAGCGACAAGAGUGCAUUCUUUGUAGCUGAAUAAAACUCCACUGUGUCCGUAUAAAUUUUCCUUUACCCACCUGUGUGGGAGUGUGGGUCUUAAUGCCAGAGAAAUAGAUGCAGCAGAUGUCUAAGAUAGAACGGCUCUCCGCAUAUAUUUCUGCAGUUCUUCAAAAACCCGUUAGACCUCUGCUCUGUCACUACCUGCUCUGGGUGGCGUUUCUCGUCCUGCGUCUGGAUAACGGCCCCCAUGUGUGUGUCUCUCGACAGCCCUGUCCCUCCUGUACAGCAUUUGAUGGACUUAAUUAAACCGGCCUGCUUUGCUGUUGUUUGCUUAUAAUCCCCAGAAGAGCUGCUGCUCGGCGAAAAGGAGGUAUUCCUGCUCUCCCGUACUGCUUGGCACAAUGCCUGACUUAACUAAGGCGUUCAAUGACACUGACUGGAUAAAUAAAACAGUUCAUAACAGCGCUUGGUCUUCCGUAACUAUCUGCACCUUCUUAAUCAGCCCCCUCUGCGAGGGAGGCUAGGCAGCUCUUAAAGGCUUUCAGCGGUGGAAGUUCAGGUCCAUAAACGUUAAGAUGACCACACAGGGAUGAAUGGGUCUGAUGUGAGGCCGCCUGAUGUCUGUGUUCCUCCUGCAGAAUUACUUGAAUGCCGAGCCUCCUUCCUUCCUUCCUAAGUGUCCUUUCAUUUGUCUCUCCCCUGAUGCACACUGUGUGGCUGGACCUCAGCUUCCUUCUCCUGACAGAGGAUCCUCAGAGGUUCCUCAGAGCCGCACUGCAGCAAACAUCCUCACAACCAUAGAAGUUUCCAGAUGGCUGAAAUUUCCCAACCCCCAAAAGUCUACUUUAACUCUCUUCCUUCGUGCAGUUUUUCCCUCAGGAUCACCGAAAGAUGUUCUCUCCAUACUGUUACAACUUAAACGUGAGAAUGCGCCAGCUGAGGUGUGAUUCGAGUCUGUCGUGGUUAGAAUAUGAAAUGCGGCCCACAGCCUUGUGGGACGGGGCUUGUUGGCCAGGCGAUUAAUCCUGGGAGGACUAGUCCUUUAAUGAACCCAUUCAUCUGAGGUCAUCACUGGGAGGAGGGUGUGUCCGUCUGGCUCUGGGACAGCAUGUGCUCAAGCUCCUUCUUCCGUUCCCUGUACUUGGCUUACCAGUUGUCAAAAGGUGAACUGCCCCACCACAAUGGCAAAAGCCUCUGAAGAACGCCGAGCUAACAUAGGCCACUCUUCCUCUCAGUUGUUCUCCUUGAGUCUUGCAAAAGCCGGACUAACUGCUCUGGGAAGCAAGGCCCUGACCAGGCACCCCUUACCCCUUCCUCCUACUCCCACCCCACCCCCACCUCCACCCCCACCCCUCACCCCUUGCCCCCACCCCGAACAAUGUGGAGCGCUGUUGCUGGGUAAACAGCACAGGUUUUGAUGAGAUGAUUCCCGCAAUCAUCAAAAAGGGUGUGUUCCCGCAAGGGCUCCUGGGAUUGAACUUUCUCUGCCAGCCUGUUAGUUGAGGCAAAAACCCCACACCCUUUCUUGGCUCUUCUCCUAGACCACGGCGAAGACGACUCCUUUGUCUGUGCCUUGGAAGUCAUCCUCAUCCAUCCUUUUCUCGAGUUCUUCUUUUUAAAAACCAAUCCGAUUGGCAAACCCACAACGAGACAAAUGAAAACGAAGAGCACAAUUAUCUUUCUUCUGUUAAAUGUUGUUGCAAACACCCCACCGUACCACUAACUCCAUCCCCCAUCAUCCAUUUGUUCACCAAGCAUCAAUGUAACUAUGUAGCCUUUCUAUGGCUGCACUGGCUCGCUCCCCGCAGGAACCCACACCUAGCACUACUUCCAGUCCCCUCUCUGUCAAGUCUUUUGUUUAUCUGUUUAUCAGAACUGACUGAAAUAACUAACUCGCAGGCCUGGGGGAAGAACGAAGUUACAAACAAUCACGAUUGUCUACUCUCCCUUUGCGGAGGCCAGCCGAAUCCGGGUACAAUGGAGCAUUAACUUGCAGACAUGCCCACCUAGUUUGGGUGGGGCGAGCCUGGAAGAGAACACACCUACAGCAAAAUGAGGGUGAAAGUAACACCAGACGACCUUUGUCAGCGAUUGCCCAAGAAGUUUCUGAAACCAGUUUCUCCAGCCUUGUAGAAAUGUUUAUGCAAGAGGCAGUUCUCAAAAUCCAAAGGUCAGCCUUCUUUGCCAAUGCACCGUGCUCCUCCGUAGAAGGUGCGCUUCUCACUUCGCCCUUCUUAGACCGCUCCCUAGUGAUCCCGGCUUCUACCAGGUUGUCACCACCACACCACUAACUUAGCUUUCCAUCUUCCCACACACUGCCACAUCUUGAGGAUGGCUUCUCAACAUCACCGUGUCACCAGUCACGGUGUCAACCAGGAAGAGUUGUGAGUACAGAGAGGCAAGUUCAUUUCACUAGUUCAGGUGAACCAAGGCACGUCCGGGACAUUCGACUUAUAUAUGUGAAUAUAUCCUCUGGCUAAUUAGCUCCGUGCGUAGUGAGUAACCAGUAAACGAGAACUGGUGAGCCUGAAGGAGUCUGCCAAGGAUAAAUCAUGAAGAAACACCUAUUGAAUGAGCCCCCCGACCCCUUGUUGGUAGAAUUGUGCAGGUACUACUGUGGUUAUGGGCUCAGCUGAGUGAGCUGUGACAUCAGCACUGCUGAGAUCAUACAGGAGAGAACUGUGACGUCAGCACUCUGAGAUGAGGCAGAAGUGAAGUUGAUACUUUCGUUAUAGUGCAUGGAGUAUUUUUGGAAUAUCACCUAAAUAAUGUAUCUGAGGGCGGUUGGAAUCCUGGAUUCAUGCUUUUGUCUUUAGCUACAGAGAAUAAAAGUUUUGAGCUG